CUUUUGGAUUAGUCUAUAAUUCUCUCAAGAUCAACAUCAGUGGAAAUAUCAGGCUUUGUGUAAAGGUUGUGCCCUUUAGGUUUCUGGAGGCAGAAUGCCUAGGGAGGUUAUUGUGUUUUGGGAUGAAAAAGAAGAGUAUUUUGUGGCCAUAAAGCAAAGGCAGUUCUAGUUCAAGCAGCAGCAAUAUUAAUGGGUUUGUUUUGCUUUUCCUUUGUAGAUACUCUGAGUAAUUAAUCAUCAGGGGAUCCAACAGUCUUCUUUGUCUGUCCUGUACCACACAUCAAUCUACAAAAGUGCUUAUGGUCCUUGAUGGGAUACUCAUCUUCACUAACCCUCUUGAUUUGUUUGAUGAGCAUCUUCUGGGCAGCAGGUGCUCCCCAAACAGAAAGCAGUGAGCAGUACAUGUAGGAAUCCUCAUGAAAUCAUAUGACUAGUGUAAAGGAGACAGACUGUAGAUGCAUUGUUAAUGAAAAUCCUUGUGUUUCAGGUUUAUGACUUCUGUAAGAAUGGAAUGUGGGCAUUUUUUGACAUCCGCAUAUCUAAAGGAGACCAUACGAGUUCUGCAUUCUAUUUUAAGACAAAAUACCUGACAUAACCAACUUAAAAAAGAGAGGAACUCCUGCAAAGCUGAAAAUGCAUGCUCAGGAUGUGGGAGAGGGGCUCUUGAGAUGGCUGAGAAGGUAAAGGCACUUUCUGCCAAAUUAAUAACCUGAGUUCAAUCCCUAGAACCCCCUAGUAGAGGGUAAAACUGGCUCCAGUGAAUUUUCCUCUGUCCUAUACACAUGCCACAGAGUGGCAUGUGCCCCCAUAUCCAUCAUCCCUCCCAACUAAAUAAAUAAAUAUUAAGUCAGCCAGAGCUAUGCAGUGAAACCC
rnacentral:lncRNA from 1 species